UACGAAGGGGGGCUAGCGUUGCUCGGAAUCACUGGGCGUAAAGCGCACGUAGGCGGGUUCUUAAGUCAGGGGUGAAAUCCUGGAGCUCAACUCCAGAACUGCCUUUGAUACUGGGAAUCUCGAGUCCGGGAGAGGUGAGUGGAACUGCGAGUGUAGAGGUGAAAUUCGUAGAUAUUCGCAAGAACACCAGUGGCGAAGGCGGCUCACUGGCCCGGUACUGACGCUGAGGUGCGAAAGCGUGGGGAGCAAACAGG
rnacentral:rRNA from 1 species